UACGGGGGGGGCAAGCGUUGUUCGGAAUUACUGGGCGUAAAGGGCUCGUAGGUGGCCAACUAAGUCAGACGUGAAAUCCCUCAGCUUAACUGGGGAACUGCGUCUGAUACUGGAUGGCUUGAGUUUGGGAGAGGGAUGCGGAAUUCCUGGUGUAGCGGUGAAAUGCGCAGAUAUCAGGAGGAACACCAAUGGCGAAGGCAGCUCGCUGGGACGGUACUGACGCUGAGGCGCGAAAGCGUGGGGAGCGAACAGG
rnacentral:rRNA from 1 species